rnacentral:rRNA from 1 species
UACGGAGGGGCUAGCGUUGUUCGGAAUUACUGGGCGUAAAGCGCGCGUAGGCGGCUUUGAUAAGGUCAGAGGUGAAAUCCUGGAGCUUAACUCCAGAACUGCCUUUGGAGACUGCAUCGCUUGAAUCGUGGAGAGGUAAGUGGAAUUCCGAGUGUAGAGGUGAAAUUCGUAGAUAUUCGGAAGAACACCAGUGGCGAAGGCGACUUACUGGACACGUAUUGACGCUGAGGUGGCG